rnacentral:rRNA from 1 species
UACGUAGGUGGCAAGCGUUGUCCGGAUUUACUGGGCGGAAAGCGCACGUAGGCGGAUCGUUAAGUCGGGGGUGAAAUCCUGGAGCUCAACUCCAGAACUGCCUUCGAUACUGGCGAUCUUGAGUCCGGAAGAGGUGAGUGGAACUCCUAGUGUAGAGGUGGAAUUCGUAGAUAUUAGGAAGAACACCAGUGGCGAAGGCGGCUCACUGGUCCGGUACUGACGCUGAGGUGCGAAAGCGUGGGGAGCAAACAGG